rnacentral:rRNA from 1 species
CAGUCGCCACGGUAAUACGGAGGGUGCAAGCGUUAAUCGGAAUUACUGGGCGUAAAGCGCACGCAGGCGGUCUGUCAAGUCAGAUGUGAAAUCCCCGGGCUUAACCUGGGAACUGCAUUUGAAACUGGCAGGCUAGAGUCUUGUAGAGGGGGGUAGAAUUCCAGGUGUAGCGGUGAAAUGCGUAGAGAUCUGGAGGAAUACCGGUGGCGAAGGCGGCCCCCUGGACAAAGACUGACGCUCAGGUGCGAAAGCGUGGGGAGCAAACAGGAUUAGAUACCCAGUAGUCCCUGUCUCUUAUACC